rnacentral:rRNA from 1 species
GGGAGGCAGCAGUAAGGAAUAUUGGUCAAUGGGCGCAAGCCUGAACCAGCCAUGCCGCGUGCAGGAAGACGGCCCUACGGGUUGUAAACUGCUUUUGUACCGGAAUAAACCACAGAUCGUGAUCUGUGCUGAAUGUACGGUAAGAAUAAGGAUCGGCUAACUCCGUGCCAGCAGCCGCGGUAAUACGGAGGAUCCAAGCGUUAUCCGGAUUUAUUGGGUUUAAAGGGUGCGUAGGCGGCCUGUUAAGUCAGGGGUGAAAGACGGUAGCUCAACUAUCGCAGUGCCCUUGAUACUGAUGGGCUUGAAUGUACUAGAGGUAGGCGGAAUGUGACAAGUAGCGGUGAAAUGCAUAGAUAUGUCACAGAACACCAAUUGCGAAGGCAGCUUACUAUGGUAUGAUUGACGCUGAGGCACGAAAGCGUGGGGAUCAAACAGGAUUAGAUACCCUGGUAGUCCACGCCCUAAACGAUGAAUACUCGAUGUUAGCGAUAUACAGUUAGCGUCAAAGCGAAAGCGUUAAGUAUUCCACCUGGGGAGUACGCCCGCAAGGGUGAAACUCAAAGGAAUUGACGGGGGCCCGCACAAGCGGAGGAGCAUGUGGUUUAAUUCGAUGAUACGCGAGGAACCUUACCCGGGCUUGAAAGUUAGUGAAUUGAGCAGAGACGCUCAAGUCCUUCGGGACACGAAACUAGGUGCUGCAUGGCUG